UGCUGAUAUUUGGCAGUCUUGGCCCCGUACACAGGCCUGCAGUGCGUGGUCUCCAGAUGGUGGGCCUGACAAGAGCUAGGGCAAAGCAAUUGGCUAUGUACUACUCUGUUUCAGUUGUCGUGGGCAGCCGAGCUGUUUGGAGAAGGAUUGGCUUCCUGUACCUUUUGACUGCCAUGAAUACAGGGACCGUUGAAAUGUUUGGAUCCUUCUUUUUGUAGUGGAUUCAAAUGAAGUAUUUCAAAUCGGUGUGUGAGUGAAUGUACGCUCAUCAGAGCUGGUCGUUCAUACUGAAGAGCAUUUAUUUUGAAUGAAAGAUGAAGACCCUUCGGAGGAAGGCAUUAUCACUGUGGAAACCGAAAGCGCGAUCAAUUACAUAUGACAGAUGGGUCCUGAGGUAACCAUAACAUACUGCAACUCCUGAGGCAUAAACAUGACUGGGCCUCUUCUGGCCCCUGAGGAGUGGACGAGCCACUGAGUUCAGAGGCUAAAAGUAUCAGGGGAGAAUCUCCUGAGACUACAAAACCGUUUCAGACCUGACCUUUGUCCUCUGUUGAAUGAGGUAGGCCUACAUCAUCUGUUUACUUUAGACAGUGUCUAAUGAUACGAUAGACAACAGCACAAACGCCUUCCAACCUGACAACGUCCACCAUCUCUGCCCUGCUUGUCUACCCCCUUCCCUCUCAGAGGCACCAGGUGUGUAUUGAUUCACAGUGAACAGCUGCCACCUAACCAGAUGGACAGCUGCCUGCCUGGUCGACGAGCUGUUCUGUCUCUUCUAUCUCUCUGUUGCUUAUUUGUUUGUCUCAUCAAUAGCAGGAGGCCCGGCAGCUGCUCACCAUCAACGUGUCUUCAUCUUUGCUGAAUUCAUUAUAUUCCUUUGUGUAAUAAGGAGAAAAACAAAACAAUUCUUAAAUUACAGACAAGCAUGCAUAUUACACACCCAUGCACGCACGUUACACACACAACUAGGACUGUUACGGUGACCGUAUUACCGUCAAACCCGGCAGUCACGAGUCAUGACCGCAGUCAAAUUCCACGUGACCGCUGAGUCACGGUAACUAGGCUUCUCCAAACCUGCACUUUGAUGCUACUGAUGGUUAGUGGCCUACCAAACUUUCUAAUGGCCAGUCACUAACUGCUUAGUACUCAGGGCUCUAUUGUCCCUCUAACCACUCUGACAUCAAUGCAAAUGCAAUCUAAAAUCAUAUCACACACUUCAUGAGAGCCCUGGAAUUCAGAGUUUGAGCGGACUGUUGCGCAGCGAGAGCCAGUUCCUCAUAGCUGGUUGAUGCAUUGAAUGAACAGAUGCCCAGCGUUUGGGCAAGAAGGCAAGAAACAGAGCAUGCAUUGUUUGGCAACUUUUUCAAAUCAUAGUCGCAUGCAUCAUGAUUUAGCCUAGUCCAUAGGCCUAUAUGUUUUGAGAAGGUUUGUAUCACAACUAAAGUCACCAAAUAACUCUAAGCAUAGCAUAUAGGCCAAGGACCCCUGGAACAGGGUUGGAGAGCCCAUAGUCUACAGAGUCUAGUGAAACCAGACCCCUGGAACAGGGUUGGAGAGCUGGAGAGCCCAUAGUCUACAGAGUCUAGUGAAACCAGACCCCUAGAACAGGAUUGGAGAGCCCAUAGUCUACAGAGUCUAGUGAAACCAGACCCCUAGAACAGGGUUGGAGAGCCCAUAGCCUACAGAGCCUAGUGAAACAAGACCCCUGGAACAGGGUUGGAGAGCCCAUAGCCUACAGAGUCUAGUGAAACCAGACCCCUGGAACAGGGUUGGAGAACCCAUAGUCUAAAGAGUCUAGUGAAACCAGACCCCUGGAACAGGGUUAGAGAACCCAUAGUCUAAACAGCCAAGUGAAACAAGACCCCUGGAACAGGGUUGGAGAACCCGUAGUCUAAAGAGUCUAGUGAAACAAGACCCCUGGAACAGGGUUGGAGAACCCGUAGUCUAAAGAGUCUAGUGAAACAAGACCCCGGGAACAGGGUUGGAGAACCCGUAGUCUACAGAGUCUAGUGAAACGUGUUCUUAUAAGCCCAGUCAUUACGAGUUUUGACUGGCCGCUUUUUAAAAGAGGAUCCCAGCUUUCUGGUGCUGCUAUAUUUAUUGCUCAGUUCUUAAAAUGAACCACAUGAAUCCACUUUACAACCGCUGUGGCCUAUCUGGCAUAUUAAAAACAUAACUAGAGGUAACCUCCAUUCGCUAUUCGAGUGCAGUGUGUGGAUCCUAUGUUUUUUUUGGUGAGCCAUUCUAAAUAAAAAAUAAUUCCACACAUAUAGUAAUAGGCUAUGUGUAAAGACCAGAUUACAUUCAGUAUAGUCUGAUGGGUGAGAACAUUAUCAAGUGCUUUUCAAAUUGUGAAUGAGAGACUGAUGAAGUGUGUGCAGCCUGCACAAGAAACAGAGCAGAGCGCAUGCCUUUCAUGUAGCGUUUCCCAAACUCGGUCCUGGGGACCCCAAGGGGUGCACGUUUUUGUUUUUUCCCUAGCAUUACACAGCUGAUUCAAGUAAUCAGAGCUUGAUGAUUAGUUUAUUAUUUGAAUCAACUGUGUAGUGCUAGGGCAAAAAAAUUUUUACAACCUUGGAGUCCCCAUGACCGAAUUUGGGAAACGCUUCUUUAAUUCACGUUUUUUCAAAUCAUCAUUAGAUUUGCACCAUGCAGCUGAUGUUCUGAAAGAGCGGCAAAAUCUGGACCAUUAUAAAUCAGCCAGGCUAGACAAUCUGGACCCUCUCUUUCUAAA